rnacentral:rRNA from 1 species
GCCUACGGCCACACCGGACUGAACGUGCCCGAUCCCGUCCGAUCUCAGAAGCCAAGCAGUCCCAGGCCCGACCAGUACCUGGAUGGAAGUCU